GUGCUCGCUUUGGCAGCACAUACACUAAAAUUGGAACAAUAGAUUAGCAUGGCUCCUGCGCAAGGAUGAUGCACACAUUUGUGAAGUCCAUUUUUUUUUU
ensembl:snRNA U6 U6 spliceosomal RNA